ACUACGGGCGGCUGCAGUAGGGAAUCUUUCACAAUGGGCGAAAGCCUGAUGACGCAACGCCGCGUGCAGGAUGACGCCUUCGGGUUGUAAACUGCUUUUAUAAGCGAGAAAUAUGAUGGUAACUUAUGAAUAAGGAUCGGCACACUACGUGCCAGCAGCCGCGGUCAUACGUAGGAUCCGAGCAUUAUCCGGAGUGAAUGGGUGUAAAGAGUUGCGUAGGUGGUAUAAUAAGUAGCUAGGGAAAUCUGGUGGCUCAACCAUUCAGACUAUUAGCUAAACUGUUAAGCUCGAGACCGGUAGGGGUAACUGGAAUUUCUAGUGUAGGAGUGAAAUCCGUAGAUAUUAGAAGGAACACCAAUAGCGUAGGCAGGUUACUGGGACGGUUCUGACACUAAGGCACGAAAGCGUAGGGAGCAAACGGGAUUAGAUACCCUUGUAGUC
rnacentral:rRNA from 1 species